rnacentral:snoRNA from 1 species
UGGAGCCCUGAUGAUUUACAAGUUCCGAAGCGGGCGUUACUUCCCGUUAAAAUGCGGAAACUAUGUUAUUUAUACGUCUUUCGCUCCUAUCUGAGCUUCA